AUGAGUGGCGAACGGGUGAGUAACACGUGAGUAACCUGCCCCCUUCUUCUGGAUAACCGCAUGAAAGUGUGGCUAAUACGGGAUAUUCUGGGUCUGUCGCAUGGUGGGCCUGGGAAAGGUUUUUUCCGGUGGGGGAUGGGCUCGCGGCCUAUCAGCUUGUUGGUGGGGUGAUGGCCUACCAAGGCGGUGACGGGUAGCCGGCCUGAGAGGGUGGACGGUCACACUGGGACUGAGACACGGCCCAGACUCC
rnacentral:rRNA from 1 species